AAGUAUAAUGAGAAAAUCAAUGUAGAACCAAAAAUGAUGUGUGGGUGUCCAAUCUGACUCUGAGGUUUGAGAAGCUGUGCAGAGUCCAACAAACAUGCACAUCUAUUGACUUUGAAUUAUUGAGUCAUCAAGAAAAUGGCCAAAGGAGGAGACGGGAGAGGAAGAAGAAGGCGGAGGAGGAAGAGGAAGAGAAAGAAGAAAUAUGUAAAUAUUAGCUACAAGAGAACUGGAAUAAGCUGAAUUUACCAUAGUUAAUUAAGUUGAAAAUUAAACCUGGCAUUGCAAAAUUUGCUAUUAUGCCAAAGGAUUUCCACCAGG